GGUGAAUGUGGUGCUUUGCGAAGAAAAACAGAACUGUAUCUGACAUGCCUGCAUCUUGCUUAUUCUCCUUCUAAAAUGUCUGAUUUGUCUUAGGAAGACUGACUGACUUUUUUUUUUUACCAGGUAGUGAAGAUCUUCUAUCCUUUGGAAGAUCUUCCAUCUUCCAACCUUCUCCAGGUCCGUCCCCAUAGCUGAUGUUGGGCUGUAGGCUAAAUUUUAGGAGUCAGCACUUCUCCAUGAGGAAUUAUGAGAACUCCCAUUUUGUUUCAGAGCGAUGAAGUCGCCAAAUUGCCAAGCUUGAAAUAACUGACCUAAAGACAGUCCCUAUUCAUUUACUCCCUAACAGGAAAAGCUGCAACUGACAUUGUGUUCUAGGGAAAGAAUUUCUGAGUGGCAGCAAAAUUAUCUUCAGGGUACAUGCUUGGUCUGCAGUAGUUGAUAGGCAUGACCCUAAUUGCUGUCCAGCAGAGAAUAAUUUCAUUAGCAAGUAAUUGAAUCAGGUGUUAGGAAGGGAGGACCAUUCACCCCAGGCCCUCUGCUCCCCACUAUUUCUGGGCUCAGCCAGCAGCUGCUCACAGACCAUCCUGUGCAGGCCUCUGUGCCACCAAGGCCUGGCCGGGCUAUUUUGGGCAUAAGCUUCGGUGAAUGCUUUGUGCUGAAGGAUGCCCAUAAGGCACUGAGGGAGUGAGCUUUAUUCUCUGGUGAUUUACUACCCAUUGUAACAUGUGACUUGAUUCCCAGUUUAGUAAAUAAUCACUAUGUACUUGAGGAAUCUGAUCGCUAUUUUAAGGAAGCUGGUGAGCGCCUGUCUUGGAAAAAGAAGGCACAGCCGGCGUUCAGAUGGGAGGAGGCCGAACCUCUGAUCUGCGGUCGCUAUCUCCAAGGGCCACACCGAGGCAGCGCGACUCUGAGAGCCCCAAGCUUGAAAUUUAGCUCUCCUGUACUGUCGGCACUUAUCCAAGAGCGUGCUAUGUGAGAGGUCAUUACUGGGAGGUUUUGCCUGAAUGAACCUUUAGAAAGCUUCUGGGAAGAGGGAGCAGAACACCAGUGCCAACAGCUGACUCUCUGAUGUCCUGCUCCAGGUAACGAUUUCCUGUACUUAAGUUGCAUUUUGUGCAGUGAAGAGAGGAAAGGUGGUUAGUUACAUCCUCUGUGUGAGGCUCUGCACGUGGCAGCAGAGGAACAAAGAGCUGCGAGCAGGAAUGUAGGGCAGAACUGGCAUCUGCAGGUGCUUAAAUUUACAGUCCUGAAUGAACUGUUCUUCAUGGGGGUUUAUUAAGUUCUCAAGUGCAUUAAUAAUAAGGUAAGGUAUGUAUAAAUUUAGUUUGUCAUUUGUCAGAUGUCUCUUUCUAGUUUCU
rnacentral:lncRNA from 1 species